rnacentral:rRNA from 1 species
UACGUAGGGGGCAAGCGUUGUCCGGAAUCAUUGGGCGUAAAGCGCGUGUAGGCGGUUCGAUAAGUCUGCUGUGAAAGUCCAGGGCUCAACCCUGGGAUGCCGGUGGAUACUGUCGGGCUAGAGUACGGAAGAGGCGAGUGGAAUUCCCGGUGUAGCGGUGAAAUGCGCAGAUAUCAGGAGGAACACCGGUGGCGAAGGCGGGUCUCUGGGCCGAUACUGACGCUGAGGAGCGAAAGCAUGGGUAGCGAACAGG